GGUUGACCUCGGAUCAGUWAGGAUACCCNCUGAACUUAAGCAUAUCAAURAGCGGAGGAAAAGAAACCAACAGGGGAUUGCCUCAGUAACGGCGAGUGAAGCGGCAACAGCUCAAAUUUGAAAUCUGGCCUCUUGGGGUCCGAGUUGUAAUUUGUAGAGGAUGCUUCGGGUUAAGCCGCGGCCUAAUUCGCUUGGAACAGCGAGUCGUAGAGGGUGAGAAUCCCGUCUAGGGCCGCGCGCCGCGCCCGUGUGAAGCUCCUUCGACGAGUCGAGUUGUUUGGGAAUGCAGCUCUAAAUGGGUGGUAAAUUUCAUCUAAAGCUAAAUAUUGGCCAGAGACCGAUAGCGCACAAGUAGAGUGAUCGAAAGAUGAAAAGCACUUUGAAAAGAGAGUUAAACAGUAUGUGAAAUUGUUGAAAGGGAAGCGCUUGCAACCAGACUUGCGAGCGACGGUUCCCCGGGUCUUCUGACCCGGCUACUCCGUCGUCUCCAGGCCAGCAUCGGUUUGGGUGGUCGGUUAAAGGCCCCGGGAAUGUAUCUACCUCCGGGUCGACUUAUAGCCCGGGGUGUAAUGCGGCCUACCCGGACCGAGGAACGCGCUUCGGCUCGGAUGCUGGCGUAAUGGUUGUAAGCGGCCCGUCUUGAAACACGGACCAAGGAGUCUAACAUCUAUGCGAGUGUUUGGGUGUCAAACCCCUACGCGUUAAUGAAAGUGAACGGAGGUAAGAACCCCUCGCGGGGCGCAUUAUCGACCGAUCCUGAUGUCUUCGGAUGGAUUUGAGUAAGAGCAUAGCUGUUGGGACCCGAAAGAUGGUGAACUAUGCCUGAAUAGGGUGAAGCCUGAGNAAACUCUGNUGGAGGCUCGCAGCGGUUCUGACGUGCAAAUCGAUCGUCAAAUUUGGGCAUAGGGGCGAAAGACUAAUCGA
rnacentral:rRNA from 1 species